GGUUGACUCGGCGCGGCGCGCCCGGAGCCCUGCGCCCCCGGCGCUAACUGCCCCGUCCCCUGUCGCCUCCUCGCAGGCAUCCCGCGGUAUCACUCGCAGUCGCCCAGCAUGUGUGACCGCAAGGAGUUCGUCUUCUCCUUCAACGCCAUGGCGUCCUCGUCCAUGCACUCGGCCGGCGGCGGCUCCUACUACCACCAGCAGGUCACCUACCAAGACAUCAAGCCGUGCGUGAUGUGAGCCCGCGGGGCCGCCGGGCCCAGGGACCUCGGCCCACGUCGCAGGGACCUGCUCUAUUCUCGAGGUGGAUCUUUUUGCCAACAACUUGCAUUUCUGAAGCCACUGCUCGUCUUAAAAAAAAAAAGAAAACAGAAGGAGCCAAGGAGCAGCGGCUGUCCGUGCCUCUGUCGCCCCUCCGCCUCCCUCCCUUCUUCCCAGCCUGUCUGGUUUUAUUUUCAAUUUUAUUUGGAUUUUUUCCGUGGGUAGUUUUCUUUCCUCCCUCACGAGACCCGCUGUCUCCUGACCUCUACUGUAAACUUGGCCGCGCGAGGAGGAGGCGAACGGUAGCCGGGGGUGUCAGGAUUGCGGGGACGCGGAAAAGGCUAAGGCACUUUGAGAAACUCUAGCAAGGCCCAUCCUGUUAUUUAUUCUACUUUCUUUCCCUAGUAACCAAAACACCACACAGGCUCCUCCGUUUAUCAGUAUUAAUGGGGUAACUUCGUUGGCAAUAUUUGCCAUGUAGAGUUUUUUUUUUAGAUAUCCAUUGUAAAUUUGAAACAAAGUCCAAUCUGUGUAAAAACAAAUUUCCAUAUGUUUUAUAUAAAUAUAUAUAUAAUGAAGGACUACCUUCUUUUUUUUUUUUUAGUAUUUUGGCUGCGGGGGUGCAGCGUUUGUGACACGUAUUUUAAAUUUCCUUCUGCACUGUAUAAAAUAAUUUGAAGAUGUUUGGCCUUUUGUGUAUUUUUUCCUAAAAAAAAGAACAAAAAUAAAAAUGUAUAACAUUUGUACUUAGUCUUUGAAAUUGUAUCAACUAGAAAUAAAACCGCAUGAGCAUUUUAUCGGGGUUGGGGUUGCAGAAUAUUUUCCAAAUCCCAAAAUGCUAGUGGGGAAAAGGGCUUCAGAUCGCAAGAUUUUUAAAAAUUAAAAAUCAAGGUGACUACAAAUAAUAUUUUCUUAAAAAAAUUUUUUUUUGGCUAAUUCUUCCCUUUUCACUCGUCAUUGCACCUUGAAGUGAAAUCUGGACAAGAAUAACUUAUUUUCCUUGGCUGGGUAUUUUUUUUUAAGAGCUCUCUGCUCCCCUCUAAAUGUCAUUUCUCCUUUUAAAGAAAUCAUCAAAUGUUUAAAGAAAAACGGUAGCCCUCCUCUCCCCAGGGAAAAUCAAAUAGAAAACAUAGAUGUGUAUGUAUAUGAAAAUGUAUAUAUGGGUAUGUAAUUUUUAAAAACACUUUUUAGCUACCCAUGACCAAUGGAUCAAUAAAAGUUCUAUUUUGCAUUUCAGACUCUACUGUUCCCAAAACUAGCUGUUAUAAAUCAAAUUUUAAGUUGUUUUUUUGGUGGGUUUUUUUUUUUUGGUUGUUGUUUUGUUUUGUUUUUGUGCCCCAAGUUGGUUUUCC
rnacentral:lncRNA from 1 species